rnacentral:rRNA from 1 species
UACGUAGGGUGCAAGCGUUAAUCGGAAUUACUGGGCGUAAAGCGUGCGCAGGCGGUGAUGUAAGACAGUUGUGAAAUCCCCGGGCUCAACCUGGGAACUGCAUCUGUGACUGCAUCGCUGGAGUGGCGGCAGAGGGGGAUGGAAUUCCGGCGUGUAGCAGUGAAAUGCGUAGAUAUGCGGAGGAACACCGAUGGCGAAGGCAAUCCCCUGGGCCUGCACUGACGCUCAUGCACGAAAGCGUGGGGAGCAAACAGG